GCAGCAGAUUAAGAAUCCAUUGUUGUCACUGGGAUGGUGUAGAUUUGAUCUCUGGCCUGGGUAUUUCCACAUGCUAUGCGCAUGGCCAAAGAAUUUUUUAAAAUUUUUAAAUAAAAAUAUAUUUCCAUUGGAAAGCCCUCAGGAGGUAAUACUGUGAAUGGAAGAGAGACUCUCAAAAGCAAAAGGACACUUGUCACAGGGAACUGUGUGCUUCUUGGCUUUCUCCAUUUUCCUUGGGUUGUCACCCACCUGCCAUGACAUUCAGAUGCUUCAGCAAGCCCAGAGUCACUGUUUGGGACUGUUGGGAGCCAGAGGGACUAAAGCAAAUAGCAGAUAGAGAGGCAGGCUGCUGGGUGAGAUCCCCGCUGGUCAAACGUGAAACAGCCAGUCAGGACCCUGCAUGAACCUCCUAUUGAUUUUUUUUUUUUUUUUUUUUUUUUUUUUUUUUGCUAUUUAGGGCUACAUCCACGGUAUAUGGAGGUUCCAGGCUAGGGGUCAAAUCAGAGCUACAGCUGCCAUCCUACACCACAGCCACAGCAUCUCGGGAUCGGAGCCGUGUCUGCCACCUACACCACAGCUCAUGGCAAUGCCAGAUCCUUAACACACUGAGCAAGGCCAGGGAUCGAACCCACAAUCUCAUGGUUCUUACCGAUCUUGACACAUUAGAGCUUUCAGCUGAACAUGAGACCAGGACCUUACAAGAAUUUAGAUUCAUCUACUCCAAGUUUUCCUUCCAGAAAUGACUUAGAGGAUCCAAUAUUUGAGGAGGAAACCAGUGGAAAUGAAGUAUUUGGAUGUGUGGUGAGACGCUGUUCCAUUAGAAGUGGUUUUUAAUCAUGCUAAUCUCGCCCAUUUGUGCUUGGACACAAGGCCCAGCUUCCUUCCUUUGCCGUUCCUCUAUGGUAUUUUUAUUUCUUCUUUUGAAUGGAGUUGUUUUACAAGGACACAAUUACUUUCCAACAUUACUUCAUAACUCUGGGAAAUAUCCUUGACCUGGAAAGUUGUGUGUGUGUGUGUUUUUAACACAACAUGGAGGGUGUUUGGAAACAGCUAGGAAACACAGUCAUUCUGUUUUGUUCUAUUUCCCCCUCCCUUAAACCUUCAGAGAGCCUCACAGGUUUCCUUACACUAUUUCCCAAGCAUCUAAAUCUACAGUUUCCAACCAUAAAUAGGGAGUGAGAACAUGGGACCAUCCAUGGAGAUUCUUUUAUUUUAUUUUUUUUAAAGAACUACACUGAUGGAUUAAUUCAGCUGGAAUGAUUACAUUUGUAUACAUACUGGCUUUUUUCUUUUUUUUUUUUUUUCCUUUUUAGGGCCGCACCCGUGGCAUAUGGAGGUUCCCAGGCUAGGGGUUGAAUCAGAGCUGCAGCUGCCAGCCUACACCACAGCUACAGCAACGUCAGAUCCAAGCAAGGUCUUCGAACUACACCAUAGCUCACGGCAACACUGGAUCCUUAACCCACUGAGCAUGGCCAGGGAUUGAACCUUCAAUCUCAUGGAUACUAGUCAGGUUCUUAACCCACUGAGCCCUUAUGGGAACUCCCUUCUUUAAAUUUCCAUGUUUAAAAGAUUAAAGCAGAAGUUCCCGUCAUGGCUCAGUGGUUAACCAAUCCAACUAGGAACCAUGAGGUUGCGGGUUUGAUCCCUGGCCUCGAUCAGUGGGGUAAGGAUUCGGCGUUGCUGUGAGCUGUGGUGUAGGUCACAGAUGCGGCUUGGAUCCCGAGUUGCUGUGGCUCUGGCGAAGGCCGGUGGCUACUGUUCCGAUUCGACCCCCAGCCUGGGAACCUCCAUAUGCCAUGAGUGCAGCCCUAGAAAGGACAAAAAAAAAAAAAAAGGUUAGAGCAAAGUUUGAUUUUGAACCCCAGAUGUGUUAAUUCCUCUCUGAAACAUUCAUUUUUUUGAAUCUGGAAAGUGUCUGAGGAAGAUGCUGUGUGCUGGGCAGCCUGGAGGUGGUUACCCACAUCCACAAGCACCCUGUCUGGCUCAGGUAGGACGAACGCCCUCCCUGGAGCUUGUAAGGUGUUUCAGGAAUACCCAACCUAUGCCCAUACCUGGAUCUUGUCAUGGGCCCCCCACCCCAGCCUAGGAGGUGCUGCACUCCCCUCCCUCGUUCCCAGGGCAACGGGCAGCUCCUCCCCUCUUUCCUCUGGUCUCCCCUCCAGCCAGACCAAACCCUUCCUUCCUACCUAAAUAUUCACAAAGCACCAGCGCAGACUUCGGAAGCUGGAAAGUCACGUGACCCCUGUGCCUUUGCCGCCCUUUUGCAUUCCUUGCUGAAGCCAUGCUGAAGUUUGUUUUCAUUUGUUUUGAACUAAAAUUUUUUUUUCGCGAUCUCUGUAAGUGUGACAAGACCGAAACUUGUCAAUGACCUGGCUCAGCCAGGGUGUGACACUGUCCUCUGUGAGACUUAAACUAGAUCCUCCUAAAGGCCCUACACUUUCUUUUUCAAAAUUUUUUGUUACUAAAGUAUAGUUGAUUUACAACACAGUGCCAGUUUCUGCUGUACAACAGAGUGUCUCAGUCAUACACACACACACACACACACACACACACAUUCUUUUUUUUAAAUAUUAUUUUCCAUCAUGGUCUCUCCCAGAAGACUGGAUAUAGUUCCCCAUGCUAUAUAGUAGGACCUUGUUGUCUCUUCCUUCUAGAUGUAAUAGUUUGCGUCUUCUCACCCCAAACCCCCAGUACAUUCCCCUCCCUCCCACCUCCCACUUGGCAACCACAAGUCUGUUCUCUGUCGGUGACUCUGCUUCUGUUUGUAGACAGGUUCUCUUUGCCAUAUUUUAGAUUCCACAUAUAAGUGAUAUCAUAUCAUAUUUGUCUUUCUCUUUCUUUUUUUAAAUUACUCAAUGAAUUUUAUUACGUUUAUAGUUAUACAACAAUCAUCACAACCAAAUUUUAUAGCAUUUCCAUCCCAAACCCCCAACACGUCCCCACACCUCCCAACCUGUCUCAUUUGGAAACCAUAAGUUUUUCAAAGUCUGUGAGUCAGUAUCUGGUCUGCAAAGAAGUUCAUUGUGUCCUUUUUUUAGAUUCCACGUGCAAGUGAUAGCAUUUGAUGUUGUAUCUUUCUCUUUCUGACUUACUUCACUUUGUAUGACGAUCUCUAGUUGCAUUCAAGGUGCUGCGAAUGGCAUUAUUGGGUUCUUUUUAUGGCUGAGUAGUAUUCCAUUGUAUAUAUGUACCACAUCUUUUGGGGGGGGGGAACUGCACCCUUGGCAUAUGGAACUUCCCAGGCUAGGGGUCAAAUCAGAUCUGCAGCUGCUGGCCUAUGCCACAGCCAUAGCAACCCAGGAUCCCAGCCACAUCUGUAACCUACACCACAGCUCAUGGUCCUGUGUCCUCAUGGAUAUUAGUAGGGAUAGUUACUGCUAAGCCACGAUGGGAACUCCUGUAUCACACCUCUUUUAUCCUUCCCUCUGUUGUUGGACCUACACUUACAAAGUGAUGUGAAUGACUGGAGUUCCCAUUGUGGUACAGCAGAAAUGAAUCCAACUAGGAACUAUGAGGUUGCAGGUUCGAUCCCUGGCCUUGCUCAGUGGGUGAAGAAUCCAGCAUUUCUCUGAGUUGUGGUGUAGGUCACAGACGCGGUUGAAAUCUGGCGUGGUUGUGGCUGUGGUGUAGGCUGUCAGCAACAGCUCUGAUUAGACCCCUAUCCUGGGAACCUCCAUGUGCCGUGGGUGUGGCCCUAAAAAGACAAAAAGACCCAAAAAAAACCCAAAAAACAAAAAACAAAAACAAAUCUGUAUCUCAGGCUUUCCUCUACCACAUUACCACCAAGACAUUUGUCACACUACAGCUACCUAGAGGGAUGACAACAAAUAUGUUUUGGAGUGAAAAAAAACACCCACACUGGAUUCCUAAACCCAUCUGAAAGAGUGUUUCCCCAUGUAUUCCAGAUGCUCUACCUUCCUAGGCAGCUAAAACGCCACUCAAACAAGGCUGGUCAGAAAGCCCGUGGUGUACAGGGUUAAAUUCCCCUUACUGUCUUCUUUGAUGGACUAAUUGUAAAACAAAUAAAAUCACUUGAGUCUCUAGUUCUCUCAAGACCUAAUUUACUUCCUUUCCUUUUGUUUUGUGUUUUUUAGGGCUGCACUGGCAUCAUAUGGAAGUUCCCAGGCUAAGGGUAGAAUCAGAGCUAUGGCUGCCAGCCUACACCCCAGCCACAGCAUCACGGGAUCUGAGCCACAUCUGUGACCUACACCACAGUCCAUGGCAACGCCGGAUCCUUAACCCACUGAGCAAGGCCAGGGAUCGAACACACAUCCUCACGGAUACUAGUCAGAUUCAUUUCUGCUGCACCACAACGGGAACUCCCUUCCGUCCCCUUCUUUUUACUUAUGUCUUAUUCUGCAGAAACACAAGUCAGACACACCUAAAAAUCCACAGUCAAGAAGAACAAGUAGGUGUUCUUACUGUGGCUCAGGAGUUUAAGAACCUGACAUAGUGUCUAUGAGAAUUCGAGUUCCAUCCCUGGCCUCGCUCAGUGGGUUAAGGAUCCAGCAUUGCUACAUGCUGCAGCCUAGGUCACAGAUGCAGCUCGGAUCUGGUGUUGCUGUACCUGUAGUGUAGGCUGGCAGCGGAAGCUUCAAUUCAACCCCUAGCCUGGGAACCUCCAUAUGCCACAGGUGUGGCCACAGAAGAAGAAGAACAACAACAACAACAACAACAAGUAAGACCCCAGCUUUCCCUACUUCUGAUUCUCCAGUCAUCGUCCCUGGAAAUUCCUUCUCAGCCAGGAGGCAGUGAUGGUCAUUACCAUCACAGAAAUGUCCCCUUCUCUGCUGGAAUCCUCCUGGCUUCUAUUUUCUUUUGUGGCAAAGUACAGAAUGACACUUAGGCAAUCCCACUUCCAUCCCUGAGAUGGCUUGUGCAAGGGAAAGGAGUCGUUUUCCUGCUCUUGACCUUCCUUACCAUGGAAAAGACUGGAAGCAGGUGUGCAGAUUGGGAGAAGGGCUGGGUUAGAAAUGGCCCUGCCCCAGAGCCUGCAGGAAGAAGCGUCAGCUGAGGGAAGUGCUACACCUGAUGCCUCAGAGCAGCGCACACUGGCUGUGUGUCAUCAGGCACACACAGUGCCAAGUUCUGUCUCCUAACACGAUCAGUGAGUGGCAGGUGCGGGUGGGAAUGAGAGAGAUGGGACACGUUUCUAUUUGGGUCGCUCCUAUAACAUUAAUUAAGAGCAAGUGAAAUACUAGAGGGUGGUCUCAGAAAGAAAGAGCCUGCUAGGAUCACUGUUUCCUCUGUUUUCAAUUUUUCGGAGGAACUAUGAAAGCCCUGAGAUUCUGAGUCCUCCAGAUGAUUCUGGCAGCCAGAGAACCACUGGUCCAAACCUACCGUUCUAUUUAUUAAAUCAUUCUAUUUAUGAAUAAGGCUUUUAAAGAUACUUGAUCAAAGAGCAGCAAGGAAGUCCAUACACUUUGUGUGUUCAAGUAAGUACCUUCUGGAAACUCCCUCCUGAUCCUGGAGCCAGUAUGUUAGAGAAGCAGCCAUCCCUGGCAGGGUGCAGGGCACCUGCCACCUUCCUCCCUCCUACGAAAAUGUUCUUGGGAUUUCCCCUUGUGGCUCAGCAGGUUAAGAACCCAACAUAAUGUCCGUGAGGAUGCGGGUUCAAUCCCUGGCCUUGCUCAGUUGGUUAAGAAUUGCUCUGAGCUGAGGCGUAAGUCUCAAAGGUGACUCAGAUCCGGGAUCGCCAUGGCUGUGGCGUAGGCCAGCAGCUGCAGCUCUGAUUCUGCCCCUAGCCUGGGCACUUCCAUAUGCUGCAGGUGAGGCUGUAAAAAGAGAAAAAGAAAAUGUUAUUUUUUUUAAAAGAAAACACUAAGUCAGAGGGGGUUGGAGGAGCACAGGACAUUUGCCUCCUGGACCAGCAUGCCCAUCAUUAUGGAAUAUAAAGCCCUACAAUCUAUAUACACAGGACCAUUCCGUAAUAGUUGGGUGCCCCAUCAUUUAUUAAGUAAAAUAUUGGAACCCCAUAAUUUUCACUUUCCAGGCUGCCUUGUGGGUAGGAAUUCAAAUGCAGAGAGAGAAACGUCAGGAUUUCACUCCCAUUUUCUUUGGCACUCCAAGUGUGUUAAUACUGUGUGUGUGUGUGUCUGUGUGUGUGUGUGUCUGUGUGGUUUUCCCCCGAGCUUAAUGACAGAAGUCCACUAACUCUGAGAUCCUCUUAGUGCUUCUCUGGGGAAAGCAGGUCCCCACACUUCAGACUGGAUGCCCCUCUGGGGGAUGCCAGCUAUUCCAGGCACAGGGCCACCUCCAGUGUGUCUGUGACAGGCAGAAAACUCUGCAGGAAUUUCCUCACUACUGGGCUGGGCUGUCUCACCUGCUAUCUUUUUAUGGUUUAGAUACAGCAAUGGUUUUCUUUCAUUUGCUCAUAAAAAUCAAGGGGCCCCAAAUGUUCCAGAUAACUGUAGAUAAAACAAGUGUGGCAGCAAUUCAUACAAAGCACGUCAUAGCGUCGUGUAGGAAAUGCACAGAACACUGUGCAUCUCAGACAUCUGGGGAAAUGCCCAACACAUGUAUAAAGCAGAUGCCUGUGCAAAUAUACUGCUAAACAUCUGUUCAAUACCAGCCUGGGGACCCUGUAAUCCUCCAAGUAAACUGAAACCCUUGAAAAUACACACCUGAGGAAAAGUCGAAUUUUUUUUUUUUUUAAUUUUUAGAAAAUAAUUCGGGAGUCCCCAUUGUGGCUCAGCCAAAACAAACCUGACGAGUGUGCAUGAGAAAUGCAGUUUCGAUCCCUGGCCCCAAUCCGUGGGUCAAGGAUCCACUGUUGCCGUUAGCUAUGGUGUAGUUCCCAGACACAUCUCAGAUCCUACGUUGAGGUGGAGCUCCAAUUCGACACCUAGCCUGGGAACUUCCACAUGCCGCAGGUACAGCC
rnacentral:lncRNA from 1 species